CCAAAACAUAGAAAAACCUGAGAAAGCCCUCUGAAUCACAAACACAGCAAAGAUACAAUCUUUUUCUCUAAAUUUCUCUAAAUGCAAGUUCCCAAACAAAAAAAAGCCUGAGACACAGCUCUAUUAAUCACAAACACAACAAAGAUACAAUCUUUUUCUCGAAAUGCAAGUACCCAAACAAAGAAAAGCCUGAGAUAAGCUCUACAAAUCAAAUGCACAGCAAAGCUAUGAUCUUUUUCUCAGAAUGCUUGAACCCAGAACAAAUAAAAAAGAAAUAAUUACACCCAAAUAAAGAAAGAGGAUAAAACAAGAAACAAGAAGGGAGAUUAAAUUUAUAAUCGAUGAAAGUACCUGGGAAUGAAUGAAAGAAACAGAUAAACGGGGAAGGAGACAAGAAGCGCGUUGGGGCCCACGGAGAAAGGGUCUUUUUCUUCUUGUUAAAACGUAUUUUAUCCUCCCUCUCUCUCUCUAAAAAAGAAGGAAGAUCACUUCACCUUUUUGUCAUUCCGCGUUUGUCAUCCUUUUAUAUUCACCCUCUUGCCAUGACCUCUAAUUUUUCAUAUCUGAAUGAUCUUAUAUUUUAUAAAUAUUGUAAUUAAAUACUCCCUCCCUUCCGGCCAUUUGUAUACAAAUGAUUGGGAUACGGAAACCAAGAAAUUGGGUAAUAAAUGAGUAAAGUUAGAUGAAAAGUGGGUAUAGUAGUGAGAUCCAUUUAUAUUUAAUAUAAUAGAUUUGAGAUUGUGGAGGAAAGUAAUGGGUGUAAUAGUGUUUAUAUUAUUACGGUUUUUCUGUGUUGUGCCCAUGGGCACACACUAAGCACAAAAUGUUAGUGCUUAGCAUGUGCCCAUGGGCACACAUUAGACAAACCCAUAUUAUUAUAGAAUGGAGAUAGUGGAAGAAAGUAGUUGGUGUAAUGAUGUUUUAUAUUAAAAAAUUUACUACUUUUGGAAUGUAUACAAUUGGUGGAACGUCCCAAAAUGAAAACUGUAUACAAUUCAUUGGGACGGAGGGAAUAUGUUUUUUAGACGUUUCUUUCAAUUAUUUUUUAACUUCGAUGAACUUAAAUAUGAGAUCGUGCAACAUCACAAAUAAAAAAAUUGAAAUAAUCUGGGUGUGGGUAUUUUUCUUAGAAUCAGAGAGUNCAAGCCGGUCCACAUCAAGAACCAAAUGAUCACCCAUUUAUUUAUUUGUACAAUUAGGGAGCCUGAGAUAGCCCUAUCAAACACAAACACAACAAAGAUAUAAUCUUUCUCGAAAUGCAAGAACCCAAACAAGAAAAGCUCGAGACAGCUUAUAAAUCACAAAAACAGACAAAGAUACAAUCUUUUUCUCAAAAUGCAAGUUCCCAAAACAACGAAAAGCCUGAGAAACCCUUCUGAAUAAAACUCAACAAAUAUAAAACCUUUUUGUCAAAAUACAAGAACCCAAAACAUAGAAAAACCUGAGAAAGCCCUCUGAAUCACAAACACAGCAAAGAUACAAUCUUUUUCUCUAAAUUUCUCUAAAUGCAAGUUCCCAAACAAAAAAAAGCCUGAGACACAGCUCUAUUAAUCACAAACACAACAAAGAUACAAUCUUUUUCUCGAAAUGCAAGUACCCAAACAAAGAAAAGCCUGAGAUAAGCUCUACAAAUCAAAUGCACAGCAAAGCUAUGAUCUUUUUCUCAGAAUGCUUGAACCCAGAACAAAUAAAAAAGAAAUAAUUACACCCAAAUAAAGAAAGAGGAUAAAACAAGAAACAAGAAGGGAGAUUAAAU
rnacentral:lncRNA from 1 species